UAGGGAAUCUUCCACAAUGGGCGCAAGCCUGAUGGAGCAACACCGCGUGAGUGAAGAAGGGUCUCGGCUCGUAAAGCUCUGUUGUUAAAGAAGAACACGUAUGAGAGUAACUGUUCAUACGUUGACGGUAUUUAACCAGAAAGUCACGGCUAACUACGUGCCAC
rnacentral:rRNA from 1 species